rnacentral:ncRNA from 1 species
UGGUGUUUAUAUAGCACAUAAACUAUCGUUAUUAAAUUUCUUUAUAUUAUUUAAUAGAAGUUUUUCAUAUAGAAGAUAAACUUAUAAAUUUUGUAAGUUAAAAAUAGAAUUUAAUUUUUGCCUGGCGAAGCCUGUGCCAGCCGCCGCGGUUAUACAGGCAGGUUGAGAUUGUUUUUUUGGAAAAGGAAAAAUUUUUUUGAUGAAAAGGUUUUCUUUAGGUGAAAUUUUGAAAAUGAUGAUUUUUAUUUGGCUUUUGAAAACUAUGAAUUAAACUAGGAUUAGAUACCCUAUUAUUAUUAAUAAUUAUAUUGGUAGUACACAAUAAUUGUGAAAUCAAAAGAUUUUGGCGGUAUUUUAAGCUUUUUAGAGGAAUUUGCUCUAUAAUUGAUAUGACACCUAGAUCUUACUUAAAUUGGUUAAGACAGUUUGUAUAUCGCUAUUUUUAUAACUAUAUUGAAUGAUAAUAGUUGGAAUGAAUUUUUUUCUGUAUUUUAGGUCAAGAUGCAAUAUAAAUUUAAGGUUGAAGUGAAUUAUGAUAAUUUUUAUUGGAUAGUAGAUGAAAAAAAAAUUAAGAUUUAAAAGUAAAAUAGUAUUAUAAUGACUGUUUGAAUAAAGCUCUAAAAUAUGUACAUAUCGCCCGUCACUCUCAUGUUUGAGAUAAGUCGUAACAAAGUAAGGGUACUGGAAAGUGUCCU